ACUUCAUCACCUUCUUACAAUUAGGAAAAUCAUUUAGAAAUUACUAUAGAGAAUCGGUUUAUUUUGAAAAUUUUAGUAUAGUAUUUAUAUUCGUUACUGUAAAUCAUACUUGAGGAGUGUUUUAAUCUUGUUCUUGUGAUAUUGUUCAUAAGGGACCAUACUUGUAUAUAUAUCUUGUUUGGGUGGUAGCACUUGUUUGGGUUCACAAGAUCCACGGGUUUUUGGUUAAUUCGAAAGGCUUUAACCUGUGUUCUAACCUUCUGAACAGAAUAGCAAACAAACGGUCUGACUUUGAUAGAUAUCACUGAAUAUGUUUAGCUUUCUUAAAAAGUUGUCGUAAUCGGCCACUGCCUUUCGAAUAUACGUGGUUUCACCUAACCGAUCACAUGUUAAGUGCUGUUCAUAAAAAGGUUUACCAAUUUCACAUAGUUCUCGCAACGUGAACAAGAGUCUGACAGCUGUAAGUCGACCAUUAUGGCGAUCUUUUACAGGUCACAUAUUUAGACAAGGCCCCUUCAUUUCAAGCGGCCAGAAGGAUACUCAUAUUCGACAUAAUACCCGACCUUAGAGUUGCCUUUCAAGGAACUUCAUGAAGUCCUCCAUGUUGUUUUCUAGCUCCGAUUCGAUUUUGUCACCAGCGGUAAGUUCUUCGAUCCGACGCUCGACGUAUUCGAGCUGGCUCAGAUUCUAGUCAUAUAUUGUCACCAUCAAAUCUUCGAGUAAAUAGUGACGCCACUGAAUCCCCAUGCUCUCGAGGCACGCCAGGCAUGUGCCGCGAAAUCGACGCUUCUGUCUCACUCGUUCGGCCUUAAGAUUUCCGAUGCGUGUUGCCAUCUCGUUGUAGCAGCGAACCAUUUCUCACCUUUAUUCUGCCUAUUUAUUAAAAGCUUGUCGAAGACAUUGAACUUCUAUUGCCUCAGGCCUUGCCGAAAGCUGUCAAGUCAGCUAGUUUGCUCGCCAUGUUAACUUUCAGAUCACAUAUGCGCUCAUCAGGAACCUUGCGUGUCACUUCGGUCGAUUUGGCAUUUUGAGUCGUGAUUUUGACACACAAAGCAGGACCCUCAGAGACGGCCGUAAAGGGUGAGGAAUAUCGGGUCGAUGCACGUUCUAGAAGCGAUGGCUGCUGAUGCGCUCUCGUGGCUGACGAAAUCUUCUCGACAAUCGUGUGAUAUCAAGUUUUGGCAAAACGAUUAAGCGUAAACAAAUAUCUGGCGCGUUUUGUUUCAUACUACUAUUUUCACUCAUCUUCGGCGGCUACUUAGCGGCCUGCGAGGAGGAACUUGUCAUGUGGCGCGAAUGUUCACGUCUCUUGUGAAUAGAUAUAUCAGUAUUAGAUUAACAACAAAGAAGUUACCUAUGUGCGAAUCGAACGCACCCUAUAACCGGACAUCCUUCGACAGCGUAACAAACAAAAGAAAUCUGUCAGGAUCUGUCUAUACGGACCGGAACACUCUCGUCCGAGAAGUCGAUUGCGUAAAAGCAACGCUUUAGAUAAAAAAAAAAAAAGAAACUUCAGUUAAUAUCUCGACGUUAGACGCAAUAGCCACCCCUCAUUCAAACAAGCGCCGCCUGACCCCAAGCGCAGAUCUCUGCAGGGACUCGAUUUCGGAAUCAUGGUUCGCUACUUUAGACACUUCUGGUUUCAGGAAACACAGGGUCGUAUCGACACUCUCAGAAAUAAACUGCUCCAAGCUCACACAGAAGAAAUGGAUUCGCGACGACGGCAGGCGGAGCUUAUCGAAGAUAUCGAGUAUAA
rnacentral:lncRNA from 1 species